rnacentral:RNase_P_RNA from 1 species
CGAGUAAGCCAGACAAUCGCUGCUAGUCUUAGAACUAGGAGAGGAAAGUCCGAGCUCCAUAGGGCAGGAUGCUGGAUAACGUCCAGUGGAGGUGACUCUAAGGAUAGUGCAACAGAAAUAAACCGCCUAGAUUUAUCUAGGUAAGGGUGGAAAGGUGAGGUAAGAGCUCACCAGGGUAUAGGUGACUAUACUGCUAUGUAAACCCCAUCUGGAGCAAGACCAAAUAGGAGGACAUAUAGUAGGGGCUGCCCGUCCCGUCCUCGGGUGUGUCGCUUGAGCCUAUCGGCAACGGUAGGCCUAGAUAGAUGAUUGUCAAAUACAGAACUCGGCUUAUAGACUUAUCUCGUAUU